CUUAAAUUAUUUUAAAUGUAGUUUUGUCUUUACGCAUUUUCAGGUCUGAUUGGGAAGAAACCGAAGCAAAUAGCAAUAACUCUGAGAGUACAAUAGAAGAAAAACGCGUCGAAAAUAUAACGAUCUAUGUUGGUACUGUCAUAUCAGUGUGCCUGUUGUCAUUUGUUAGAGCGGUUUUCUGGUUUCAAAUCCUAACCAGUGCAUCACGACAUUUACAUGACGAGAUGUUUAGAACUAUUCUCAGAGCUCCGAUAUAUUUCUUUGACACAAAUCCUGUUGGUAAGUUUUGAUUAUAAAUCAUGUACCUCCAGCACUGCAUUGCUAUUUGAAUAUCUUGCUCAGUUAGGUAAUUGUUGCACAUCGUUAUGAUUGGGUAUUAGCUUUGUAGCAUUCAUGUGUAUAGCCUAAUGUUUUCAGUGUAUAGGGCAUAUUGUAAACACUGGACUGGCCUUUGGACUGGACUUAUUUUUACAGUAAGAUUUUCGCAUAAAUCCCCAUAGUUAUCGUUAGAAACAACGAAAAGGAGCUCGAUAGGUCCAAUAGCACAACGUACGUACAAUAGCAUGCCCGUUCGCAAGUUUGAGUUGGGCAUAGCUCUGGGAGAAAUCGAAUUGAUUCACGG